UGAACGCUGGCGGAAUGCUUUACACAUGCAAGUCGAACGGUAGAGGGGGCAACCCCUUGAGAGUGGCGAACGGGUGAGUAAUAUAUCGGAACGUGCCCAGUCGUGGGGGAUAACGUAGUGAAAAUUACGCUAAUACCGCAUACGAUCUAAGGAUGAAAGCGGGGGAUCGCAAGACCUCGCGCGACUGGAGCGGCCGAUAUCAGAUUAGGUAGUUGGUAGGGUAAAGGCCUACCAAGCCAACGAUCUGUAGCUGGUCUGAGAGGACGACCAGCCACACUGGAACUGAGACACGGUCCAGACUCCUACGGGAGGCAGCAGUGGGGAAUUUUGGACAAUGGGCGAAAGCCUGAUCCAGCCAUUCCGCGUGCAGGAUGAAGGCCCUCGGGUUGUAAACUGCUUUUGUACAGAACGAAAAGGUUUCUAUUAAUACUAGGAGCUCAUGACGGUACUGUAAGAAUAAGCACCGGCUAACUACGUGCCAGCAGCCGCGGUAAU
rnacentral:rRNA from 1 species